rnacentral:rRNA from 1 species
UACGUAGGGUGCGAGCGUUAAUCGGAAUUACUGGGCGUAAAGCGUGCGCAGGCGGUUUUUGUAAGUCAGAUGUGAAAUCCCCCGGGCUCAACCUGGGAACUGCGUUUGAAACUACAAGGCUAGAGUGUAGCAGAGGGGGGGUGGAAUUCCACGUGUAGCAGUGAAAUGCGUAGAGAUGUGGAGGAACACCGAUGGCGAAGGCAGCCCCCCUGGGUUAACACUGACGCUCAGGCACGAAAGCGUGGGGAGCAAACAGG